GACGAACGCUGGCGGCGUGCUUAACACAUGCAAGUCGAACGAAGUGUCGAACGGGUGAGUAAUACGUGGGUAACCUGCCCUCCUUUUUGGGAUAAACCUUUGAAACGGGGUCUAAUACCGAAUAACGGGGGUUGGGCUCGGGGCCUAUCAGCUUGUUGGUGGGGUGAUGGCCUACCAAGGCGGUGACGGGUAGCCGGCCUGAGAGGGUGACCGGCAACAUUGGGACUGAGAUACGGCCCAGACUCCUACGGGAGGCAGCAGUGGGGGAUAUUGCACAAUGGGCGAAAGCCUGAUGCAGCGACGCCGCGUGAGUGAAGAAGGUUUUCGGAUCGUAAAACUCUGUUGUUAGAAAAACGGUAUCUAACCAGAAAGCCACGGCUAACUACGUGCCAGCAGCCGCGGUAAUAC
rnacentral:rRNA from 1 species